rnacentral:rRNA from 1 species
UGAUUGGUGCUUGCAUCAUGAUUUACAUUUGAGUGAGUGGCGAACUGGUGAGUAACACGUGGGAAACCUGCCCAGAAGCGGGGGAUAACACCUGGAAACAGAUGCUAAUACCGCAUAACAACUUGGACCGCAUGGUCCGAGCUUGAAAGAUGGCUUCGGCUAUCACUUUUGGAUGGUCCCGCGGCGUAUUAGCUAGAUGGUGGGGUAACGGCUCACCAUGGCAAUGAUACGUAGCCGACCUGAGAGGGUAAUCGGCCACAUUGGGACUGAGACACGGCCCAAACUCCUACGGGAGGCAGCAGUAGGGAAUCUUCCACAAUGGACGAAAGUCUGAUGGAGCAACGCCGCGUGAGUGAAGAAGGGUUUCGGCUCGUAAAACUCUGUUGUUAAAGAAGAACAUAUCUGAGAGUAACUGUUCAGGUAUUGACGGUAUUUAACCAGAAAGCCACGGCUAACUACGUGCCAGCAGCCGCGGUAAUACGUAGGUGGCAAGCGUUGUCCGGAUUUAUUGGGCGUAAAGCGAGCGCAGGCGGUUUUUUAAGUCUGAUGUGAAAGCCUUCGGCUCAACCGAAGAAGUGCAUCGGAAACUGGGAAACUUGAGUGCAGAAGAGGACAGUGGAACUCCAUGUGUAGCGGUGAAAUGCGUAGAUAUAUGGAAGAACACCAGUGGCGAAGGCGGCUGUCUGGUCUGUAACUGACGCUGAGGCUCGAAAGUAUGGG